AAAAAAAACAAGGACCAGACAAAGCAAAAAAGGGCAUUUAAAGAGACAGCGCUGUGCAGAUGCAUAUUUGAUGGCCUGGCGCAGCAGGUAGGGGCGAACUCUAUGUCUGAGUUGGUCUUUGCUCAAGCAGUCCAGAAAUGGCUCAGAUAUGCUCCAGAUCGUACGGGUGGCGCGCAGGACACACAUCAUCCAUCCCCAUCCCGGAGUAAAUAAUAAAAAGUGACGUGAAACAUAGAAAUGUAAAUAGGAAACUUUGUCUUUUAAUAAAGUAUUUUGCAAAUGA